rnacentral:rRNA from 1 species
GUGCAGCAGGCGAGAAACUUCACACUGUGCGAAAGCACGAUGAGGGAAUCCCAAGUGCUUGCACGUAAGUGUAAGCUGUUUCUCUGUCUAAAACGCAGAGAGAGUAAGGGCUGGGUAAGACGGGUGCCAGCCGCCGCGGUAAUACCUGCAGCUCAAGUGGUGACCGUUAUUAUUGGGCCUAAAACGUCCGUAGCCGGUUUAAUAAAUGCCUGGGUAAAUUGUGUAGCUUAACUAUACGAAUUCCGGGUAGACUGUUAAACUUGAGACCGGGAGAAGUUAGAGGUACUCCUGGGGUAGAGGUGAAAAUUCUGUAAUCCUAGGGGGACCACCAGUGGCGAAGGCGUCUAACUAGAACGGGUCUGACGGUGAGGGACGAAGCCCUGGGGCGC